UUUCUUUCUUUCUCUCUCGUCUUAGUGAGUUGAUGAAGGGUAAGGGAGGAAGGCGAAUAAAAGAUAAAUACAAAUAGAAAAAAUAUUUAUAUAAUCGGUCUGUAAAGGAAGCUAGUUAGCGACAUGGUACACAAGACAAAGUUAGUGAGGACCUUUUUCUUCACUCUGGAUUUAGGAGGACUCCAGCCGUUCAGGUACGCUGGAUUCUUCUGAUACUGACUUAAGAGUGUCCCUGAUGUCCAGCAGGCUGAAGAUCGACAUCUGGUACGCUGGAUUCUUCUGAUACCCACUCAAAUGUGUCUCUGGUGUCCAGCAGGCUGAAGAUCGACAUCUGCAGCCAUGAUGGAUGCUCUGAUGCUGGUGGAGAGAUGUGAUGUCAGCCAGGAUUCACCUUCAGGGAGGGCAGGAGGGGCUGGACAGUGGGAGGUGCUAUAUUCAGCUGAGAUGAUGCUGCUGCUCAUCUUCAUCUCCAGCUGUGUGGGUGGAGCAGCAGCAGAGGUGGAGGCUGGAGGAUGGUGUGGAUGAUGAGUCUGUGUUUCUCAGUGCGAUGGAGAGCUGCUUCUUACUGAACCCGACCCUGCAGAGCACUGAGGGCGUCCUGUCAGCUUCAGGACCACCUGGCAGGAGUUUGUGGAGGACCUGGGCUUCUGCUGGUCAUCGCCCUCCUCUCCCUGGGCCUCGCCUACUACGUCAGCAGAGUCCUGCCUUUCUCAGGGUGGAGAGGAGGUAGGAAAAUAAAUUAAGCUCUUUAUCUAGAACAAAAACUCUGUCUGUGUGUGUCAGUGCGAUGGAGGGUCACUCCUUACUGAACCCGACCCUGCAGAGCACUGAGGGCGUCCUGUCCAGCUUCAGAACCACCUGGCAGGAGUUUGUGGAGGACCUGGGCUUCUGGAGGGUCCUGCUGCUGUUGGUGGUCAUCGCCCUCCUCUCCCUGGGCAUCGCCUACUACGUCAGCAGAGUCCUGCCUUUCUCAGGGUGGAGAGGAGGCAGGAAAAUAAAUGAAGAUCUUUAUGUAGAACAAAAACUUUGGUAUUUAUUUGUUGUGCAAAUCUGAUCAUUUUAUUGGAAUAUGAACAACAUCAUGUGAUGCUGCCAGUGCAAAGAAGAGAGGACGAUGACUCAGAGACACC